rnacentral:misc_RNA from 1 species
GAUGAAGAACGUAGCGAAAUGCGAUAAGUAAUGUGAAUUGCAGAAUUCAGUGAAUCAUCGAAUCUUUGAACGCACAUUGCGCCCGCCAGUAUUCUGGCGGGCAUGCCUGUUCGAGCGUCAUUUCAACCAUCAAGCCCCCGGCUUGUGUUGGGGACCUGCGGCUGCCGCAGGCCCUGAAAAGCAGUGGCGGGCUCGCUGUCACACCGAGCGUAGUAGCAUACAUCUCGCUCUGGGCGUGCUGCGGGUUCCGGCCGUUAAACCACCUUCAUAACCCAAGGUUGACCUCGGAUCAGGUAGGAAGACCCGCUGAACUUAAGCAUAUCAUAAGCGGAGG